AGAGUUUGAUCAUGGCUCAGGAUGAACGCUGGCGGCGUGCCUAACACAUGCAAGUCGAACGGACCUUCGGGUCAGUGGCGCACGGGUGAGUAACACGUAGCUAACCUGCCCUCAAGCGCGGGAUAACGGUUCGAAAGAGCCGCUAAUACCGCAUAAGCUCACGUUUUGUAGAGGGAUGUGAGAAAAGCGUAUACGCUUGAGGAGGGGGCUGCGACCCAUCAGGUAGUUGGAGCGGUAACGGCGCACCAAGCCGACGACGGGUAGGGGACCUGAGAGGGUGAUCCCCCACACUGGGACUGAGACACGGCCCAGACUCCUACGGGAGGCAGCAGUGAGGAAUAUUGGUCAAUGGGGGCAACCCUGAACCAGCAACGCCGCGUGGGUGAUGAAGGCCUUCGGGUCGUAAAGCCCUUUUGCAGGUGACGAGGAAGGACGGUAGCCUGCGAAGAAGUGUCGGCUAACUACGUGCCAGCCGCCGCGGUAAUUC
rnacentral:rRNA from 1 species